GAUGAACGCUGGCGGCGUGCCUAAUACAUGCAAGUCGAGCGAAUGGAUUAAGAGCUUGCUCUUAUGAAGUUAGCGGCGGACGGGUGAGUAACACGUGGGUAACCUGCCCAUAAGACUGGGAUAACUCCGGGAAACCGGGGCUAAUACCGGAUAACAUUUUGAACCGCAUGGUUCGAAAUUGAAAGGCGGCUUCGGCUGUCACUUAUGGAUGGACCCGCGUCGCAUUAGCUAGUUGGUGAGGUAACGGCACACCAAGGCAACGAUGCUUAGCCGUCCUGAUGAGGAGGUCGGCAAAGCUGGGAAUAAGAACGGGCCCAGACGCUUAGGGGAGGCAGCAGUAGGGAAUCUUCCGGAAGGGACGAAAGUCAGCCGGAGCAACACCGCGUGAGUGAUGAAGGCUUUCGGGUCGUAAAAAUCUGUUGUUAGGGAAGAACAAGUGCUAGUUGAAUAAGCUGGCACCUUGACGGUACCUAACCAGAAAGCCACGGCUAACUACGUGCCAGCCGCCGCCGUAA
rnacentral:rRNA from 1 species